GAUGAAGAACGCAGCGAAAUGCGAUAAGUAAUGUGAAUUGCAGAAUUCAGUGAAUCGUCGAAUCUUUGAACGCACAUUGCGCCCCCUGGUAUUCCGGGGGGCAUGCCUGUCCGAGCGUCAUUACAACCCUCAAGCUCAGCUUGGUGUUGGGCCCCGCCGCCCCGGCGGGCCCUAAAGUCAGUGGCGGUGCCGUCCGGCUCCGAGCGUAGUAAUUCUUCUCGCUCUGGAGGUCCGGUCGUGUGCUCGCCAGCAACCCCCAAUUUUUUUCAGGUUGACCUCGGAUCAGGUAGGGAUACCCGCUGAACUUAAGCAUAUCAAUAAGCGGAGGA
rnacentral:misc_RNA from 1 species